AUAAUCAUGGAGUAUAAUAAUUAAAUUUAAUAAAUUUAAUAUAACUAUUAAUAGAAUUAGGUUACUAAUAAAUUAAUAACAAUUAAUUUUAAAACCUAAAGGUAAACCUUUAUAUUAAUAAUGUUAUUUUUUAUUAUUUUUAUAAUAAGAAUAAUUAUUAAUAAUAAUAAACUAAGUGAACUGAAACAUCUAAGUAACUUAAGGAUAAGAAAUCAACAGAGAUAUUAUGAGUAUUGGUGAGAGAAAAUAAUAAAGGUCUAAUAAGUAUUAUGUGAAAAAAAUGUAAGAAAAUAGGAUAACAAAUUCUAAGACUAAAUACUAUUAAUAAGUAUAGUAAGUACCGUAAGGGAAAGUAUGAAAAUGAUUAUUUUAUAAGCAAUCAUGAAUAUAUUAUAUUAUAUUAAUGAUGUACCUUUUGUAUAAUGGGUCAGCAAGUAAUUAAUAUUAGUAAAACAAUAAGUUAUAAAUAAAUAGAAUAAUAUAUAUAUAUAUAAAAAUAUAUUAAAAUAUUUAAUUAAUAUUAAUUGACCCGAAAGCAAACGAUCUAACUAUGAUAAGAUGGAUAAACGAUCGAACAGGUUGAUGUUGCAAUAUCAUCUGAUUAAUUGUGGUUAGUAGUGAAAGACAAAUCUGGUUUGCAGAUAGCUGGUUUUCUAUGAAAUAUAUGUAAGUAUAGCCUUUAUAAAUAAUAAUUAUUAUAUAAUAUUAUAUUAAUAUUAUAUAAAGAAUGGUACAGCAAUUAAUAUAUAUUAGGGAACUAUUAAAGUUUUAUUAAUAAUAUUAAAUCUCGAAAUAUUUAAUUAUAUAUAAUAAAGAGUCAGAUUAUGUGCGAUAAGGUAAAUAAUCUAAAGGGAAACAGCCCAGAUUAAGAUAUAAAGUUCCUAAUAAAUAAUAAGUGAAAUAAAUAUUAAAAUAUUAUAAUAUAAUCAGUUAAUGGGUUUGACAAUAACCAUUUUUUAAUGAACAUGUAACAAUGCACUGAUUUAUAAUAAAUAAAAAAAAAAUAAUAUUUAAAAUCAAAUAUAUAUAUAUUUGUUAAUAGAUAAUAUACGGAUCUUAAUAAUAAGAAUUAUUUAAUUCCUAAUAUGGAAUAUUAUAUUUUUAUAAUAAAAAUAUAAAUACUGAAUAUCUAAAUAUUAUUAUUACUUUUUUUAAUAAUAAUAAUAUGGUAAUAGAACAUUUAAUGAUAAUAUAUAUUAGUUAUUAAUUAAUAUAUGUAUUAAUUAAAUAGAGAAUGCUGACAUGAGUAACGAAAAAAAGGUAUAAACCUUUUCACCUAAAACAUAAGGUUUAACUAUAAAAGUACGGCCCCUAAUUAAAUUAAUAAGAAUAUAAAUAUAUUUAAGAUGGGAUAAUCUAUAUUAAUAAAAAUUUUAUCUUAAAAUAUAUAUAUUAUUAAUAAUUAUAUUAAUAAUAUAUAUAAUUAUAUUAUAUAUUUUUUUUAUAUAAUAUAAACUAAUAAAGAUCAGGAAAUAAUUAAUGUAUACCGUAAUGUAGACCGACUCAGGUAUGUAAGUAGAGAAUAUGAAGGUGAAUUAGAUAAUUAAAGGGAAGGAACUCGGCAAAGAUAGCUCAUAAGUUAGUCAAUAAAGAGUAAUAAGAACAAAGUUGUACAACUGUUUACUAAAAACACCGCACUUUGCAGAAACGAUAAGUUUAAGUAUAAGGUGUGAACUCUGCUCCAUGCUUAAUAUAUAAAUAAAAUUAUUUAACGAUAAUUUUAUUAAAUUUAGGUAAAUAGCAGCCUUAUUAUGAGGGUUAUAAUGUAGCGAAAUUCCUUGGCCUAUAAUUGAGGUCCCGCAUGAAUGACGUAAUGAUACAACAACUGUCUCCCCUUUAAGCUAAGUGAAAUUGAAAUCGUAGUGAAGAUGCUAUGUACCUUCAGCAAGACGGAAAGACCCUAUGCAGCUUUACUGUAAUUAGAUAGAUCGAAUUAUUGUUUAUUAUAUUCAGCAUAUUAAGUAAUCCUAUUAUUAGGUAAUCGUUUAGAUAUUAAUGAGAUACUUAUUAUAAUAUAAUGAUAAUUCUAAUCUUAUAAAUAAUUAUUAUUAUUAUUAUUAAUAAUAAUAAUAUGCUUUCAAGCAUAGUGAUAAAACAUAUUUAUAUGAUAAUCACUUUACUUAAUAGAUAUAAUUCUUAAGUAAUAUAUAAUAUAUAUUUUAUAUAUAUUAUAUAUAAUAUAAGAGACAAUCUCUAAUUGGUAGUUUUGAUGGGGCGUCAUUAUCAGCAAAAGUAUCUGAAUAAGUCCAUAAAUAAAUAUAUAAAAUUAUUGAAUAAAAAAAAAAUAAUAUAUAUUAUAUAUAUUAAUUAUAAAUUGAAAUAUGUUUAUAUAAAUUUAUAUUUAUUGAAUAUAUUUUAGUAAUAGAUAAAAAUAUGUACAGUAAAAUUGUAAGGAAAACAAUAAUAACUUUCUUAAAAAAUGGAAAGAAUUAAAUUAAUAUAAUGGUAUAACUGUGCGAUAAUUGUAACACAAACAAGUGAAACAAGUACGUAAGUAUGGCAUAAUGAACAAAUAACACUGAUUGUAAAGGUUAUUGAUAACGAAUAAAAGUUACGCUAGGGAUAACAGGGUAAUAUAACGAAAGAGUAGAUAUUGUAAGUUAUGUUUGCCACCUCGAUGUCGACUCAACAUUUCCUCUUGGUUGUAAAAGCUAAGAAGGGUUUGACUGUUCGUCAAUUAAAAUGUUACGUGAGUUGGGUUAAAUACGAUGUGAAUCAGUAUGGUUCCUAUCUGCUGAAGGAAAUAUUAUCAAAUUAAAUCUCAUUAUUAGUACGCAAGGACCAUAAUGAAUCAACCCAUGGUGUAUCUAUUGAUAAUAAUAUAAUAUAUUUAAUAAAAAUAAUACUUUAUUAAUAUAUUAUCUAUAUUAGUUUAUAUUUUAAUUAUAUAUUAUCAUAGUAGAUAAGCUAAGUUGAUAAUAAAUAAAUAUUGAAUACAUAUUAAAUAUGAAGUUGUUUUAAUAAGAUAAUUAAUCUGAUAAUUUUAUACUAAAAUUAAUAAUUAUAGGUUUUAUAUAUUAUUUAUAAAUAAAUAUAUUAUAAUAAUAAUAAUUAUUAUUAUUAAUAAAAAAUAU
rnacentral:rRNA from 1 species